GACGAACGCUGGCGGCGUGCUUAACACAUGCAAGUCGAACGGAAAGGCCCUGCUUUUGUGGGGUGCUCGAGUGGCGAACGGGUGAGUAACACGUGAGUAACCUGCCCUUGACUUUGGGAUAACUUCAGGAAACUGGGGCUAAUACCGGAUAGGAGCUCCUGCUGCGUGGUGGGGGUUGGAAAGGUUCGGCGGUUGGGGAUGGACUCGCGGCUUAUCAGCUUGUUGGUGGGGUAGUGGCUUACCAAGGCUUUGACGGGUAGCCGGCCUGAGAGGGUGACCGGCCACAUUGGGACUGGGAUACGGCCCAGACUCCUACGGGAGGCAGCAGUGGGGAAUAUUGCACAAUGGGCGGAAGCCUGAUGCAGCAACGCCGCGUGCGGGAUGACGGCCUUCGGGUUGUAAACCGCUUUCGCCUGUGACGAAGCGUGAGUGACGGUAAUGGGUAAAGAAGCACCGGCUAACUACGUG
rnacentral:rRNA from 1 species